UACGUAGGUGGCAAGCGUUGUCCGGAUUUACUGGGCGUAAAGAGCGCGCAGGCGGUCGUUCAAGUCGCGUGUGAAAGCCCCCGGCUCAACUGGGGAGGGUCACGCGAUACUGAUCGACUCGAAGGCAGGAGAGGGAAGUGGAAUUCCCGGUGUAGUGGUGAAAUGCGUAGAUAUCUGGAGGAACACCGGUGGCGAAGGCGGCGUUCUGGACUGCAACUGACACUGAGGAACGAAAGCCAGGGGAGCAAACGGG
rnacentral:rRNA from 1 species